rnacentral:rRNA from 1 species
CACAACACCAGUUUGGCC